GUUCAGUAGGCGAAUGCUGUGGUAAAGUAUGUGUGUUUCUUUCUGUUCAAUAGAUAGAACUUCAAUCCCCUGUAGGAGAAAUUUGUUAAUGUUUGUCCCUGUAAAACAAUGGUAAAAAAAAAAAAAGCCAAACCGUCCAAUCUGAAGGCUCUACUUAACCUCUCACUUCCACCAAUGCAAAGCGAACAGAACUGAGUAGGGGAGGGCGUAGCCUAACUAGUUUGAUUUUGAACGACCCAGAGAAACUCAACGCAAAUUCAAUGUGAACAUGCAUGAGGCUUUAAUAAAAUCCCGGACGAUUUUGAAAUUCCGCCUAAAAAAGAGGGCGUGUCCGGGCAAAAGAAGACGUCUGGUUGAUUCCUACCUGUUCCACUGUUAAAUAGCGGCCCAUAUUGGUGGGCGCUAUCCUUGUAAUUUCUCUGCGUGAGAAAUACGAAGUGUGGCGUGUGAGCGUGUGCAUGGGUGAGUUGCGUGCGUCUCACGCCGAAUGCGUGAGACUUGAGAGCCCUGAUUUAACUAUAAUGUAAAAUGAUGUUCAAUAUGGUUUAGAGUUGAGUCUAGAGCAGGUUCUGUUGCAUGACGAGGUUACAUCUAGGUAGAGUUCCCCAUCUAUACGCUACCGUCGUGGGUUCUAAACAAAAAAAAGCCAACGUAAGGCCCUCUUGAAAGGUUACACAAAUAUAUCUAUGUUAUGCUUACCUUAUGGUGCUCAUUGCCUCGGAGGUGUGUCUUAAAUUGAAUGAUAUUGGGAAAGUUUUCGAGGCAGACCUGGAACCGACAACAUUAACCCAUCAACAUAAACCCUCACAACAUGAAACGGUCACGCUAACCCGCAUAUGUUGGCAACUUGGCACACAUUUCACCUACUCACCUGGCAUCCGAUCCGGUCCAGUUUGGGGAAGGACAUGGUCACCUUCAGAGGGCGCCUGGUUUUCUGGUUCGGGCUCAGCAGCGUGCUCGGGGAGGGGGAUGAAACAGCCGUCUCCCCGACUCGAGAGGAUUCCAGAGAUCUAAGAAACGGAAGGUGGUCUACGUCAACACACAUUUCGAAGGCAUGAAAACACAGGAACUGAUAAAUCGAUGAAAGAUUAUUUUCUGUAUAUUUUGAUGUUACCUUAUGAAGAAAAAAUUACUUUGAAAGUUAUGGAACCAGAUGUUGAAUUCCUCCAGGUUACUUAUGUGCUUUAUUUUUGGGGUCUCCUGGCGAUUAUUUGGUGUAACUGCGUCCUUUGUGACUACAAUGUUCAGCGCAAGGUCCCUCGAUUUCCGUUUAUACACUGGUCAGCAAGAUUUUCUCGCCUAAUUUCUACAAAAAUCUGCAUGUUUUCUACAUGCUAGACUAGUUAAAAGGUGGUAAUUCUGAUUCUACGUGCUGCUAGCUGCUCGAAUUAAUAAAUCCCCCAGCAGCAGGUGCUGCACCCUACAGAGAUGUCAUCCUCGGUCACCGCUUCAUUCUGAAUACAUUUGAACACUACACACAUUUGAGAGCAUGAGGAAUCGAGGAGUCCGGAGCAAGUAUGACAUCAGACUUUAUUGAUGAACAAGCAACCGAAAAGCCGAGUAGUUUGCAAAGCACUGUGGAUGUGUCCGACCCCUGUCUUUAUCCUCACACUCUAAGCUGUCCCCCAUAUUGUGUGCCCGCCCACAGCAUGGAUUGUUCUCCUGUCAUGGUAAGGCCGGUCACGGUCAGUCAUACAUUUCUUUAAUUAUGUGGUCAACAUCCUCAGCCAAUCUAAUUAAAACAUCAGGUUGAUGCUUAUCUAAACAUUAGGUUAACUAAUCUAAACAAUAGUUUGAGCUAAUCUAAACAUCUGGUUGAGGCCAAUCUAAAUCCCCACCUUUAUUAGCACAUUCUUCGCACCGUGAUUUAAUUUCCUUAAAUAUUGCGCGCAUUUUAGGUACCUUAAUGUGAGCUUUUAUGAACCAUUUCUCAGUUCUUUUAAAUCCUACAUGCCCCAGUGCGCAAUGCAUUGCUCGCAGUUGGUCAAAAGCCCCAUCCCCCCGGAAUGAUGAUCUUACCCGUUUUUGACCAUUCUUUUGGAUGCAUAAGCAACAUAUUCCCUGUGACCACCCUUGCCUGCCGAGGGAAAUCUCUUCUGGUCACUGACAAUUCGUCAGCCAUGCGAUUCCCUUCACAUUCCUGCGUUUGUUCACCUGUAUGGGCGGGUACGUGAUUUAAUUUAUCACACUUUUUCUUGUGUAAUUCCUCUAUUGUUUUCCAUAAACUGGUUUGAGUAAGCUUCCUUUGUGGUUCUGCCAUUCUCUUACCACCCAGUGACUCAGACUGUCUGAGUUACUGUUCACCAACGAACUGUCAGACCAUAUGUAAGCCUUUUUCUGUUUCUUUGUAUCCAUCCAUGCCAGAGCUUCUGUGGUAGAAGCCGAAUUCUAUCACUUCAUCUAAAUAAGAGAGUAGGAGGAAUCAAGGAGUCCGGAGCAAGAAGGACAGAAGACCCUAUUGUCAACCGUGAACAAGCAGCCACAAGGCCGAGUGAUUUACAUUUGGAUGUUUACGAGGACCCCUGCGCUUUUAUACCCAUCCCAAGCUUUUUAUGCUCUUGUUCCCAGUACGGUUUUCAGCUGUUCACAGACGAGGUGACGGAGGUGCUCGGCCCUUAACCAGUCCAACCCAUUUUCUCAACAAAUGUUCCUUUGUUAUACAUCUCUGGGUACUUUUCCUAUUUCACCCUCAGGGCGGCACAUGAUACGUGAGCUGAUGUAACAGCCAUCACAUGUUUAAAAUGUGUUUGUGUUCUCCUUAGGAUCACACUUAUGUGAUGUGCCACACAGAAUAGCAUCUUUAAUAGCCACACAACAAAGUUGGUGGUAUUUUUUGUAGCUCCUUCCGGUGGGGGGAGGGAAUAAAUUUGAAUAAAAAUAUUAGUAGAGUUGUAAAGCUUCAGGAGUCUAAUUGCUGAAGGGUGGAAGCUGUUGCUGAAGCGCGUCGUUCCAGUCUUCAGAGAUCUAUAGCGUC
rnacentral:lncRNA from 1 species